AUUAUUUUGGCAGAUUUAAUGUAGUAAAUUUAGAAUUUACUUAUAUAUAAUUAUAUUAUAUAAAUAAUA
rnacentral:tRNA from 1 species